CUGUAAAAAAGGCCAAAUAUCGUGUAUUAAAAUUAGAUGAAAACACGUUCAAUUGCACCAGACAUGGCAGCUUUGAGAAGCUUCAAUGUGUUGGUGCAGUUUGUUUUUGUGUUAACGAGGAAGGGAAAAGACUAAAAGAACAGGGUUCAAUUACAAUGAGUAAUUUCAGAAAAAACCCCUGUUAGGUUGUAUUUCUCAACAUAAUUUCGAUGUUUCCAACUUCAUGUGUUUAAUACACUCUAUACAAUGACUUCCAGUUAUUGUAUAAAGAAAAAAGGAUAUCUAAUGGUGGUGUGAUGAGGUUGAUGAUAGUGAAGCUCUACCAAGUAAAAACCAAAUAUCAGUUGAAAAUUGCCGUUUUCCUACUCAUGUUAUUUCAACAUAGUUGAAAAUAUUUUCUUUAUUAAUGAAGACAUUCAACAUUUAUUACACAGCUGUUACACAUUUAAAUUAUUAGCACUCGAUUUCUUAACGCAUUAACCAAAUUUAUUUGAUAAUAAACCAUUUCAAAAUGUAA